rnacentral:rRNA from 1 species
UGCCAGCCGCCGCGGUAAUACGGAGGGGGUUAGCGUUGUUCGGAAUUACUGGGCGUAAAGCGCGCGUAGGCGGAUUGGAAGGUUGGGGGUGAAAUCCCGAGGCUCAACCUCGGAACUGCCUCCAAAACUCCCUGGCUCGAGACCGGAAGAGGGUAGCGGAAUUCCCAGUGUAGAGGUGAAAUUCGUAGAUAUUGGGAAGAACACCAGUGGCGAAGGCGGCUACCUGGUCCGGAUCUGACGCUGAGGCGCGAAAGCGUGGGGAGCAAACAGGAUUAGAUA